GGACCUACGGGAGGCAGCAGUGGGGGAUAUUGCACAAUGGGGGAAACCCUGAUGCAGCGACGCCGCGUGAGUGAAGAAGUAUUUCGGUAUGUAAAGCUCUGUCAGCAGGGAAGAAAGAAAUGACGGUACCUGACCAAGAAGCCCCGGCUAACUACGUGCCAGCAGCCUCGGUAAUACGUAGGGGGCAAGCGUUAUCCGGAAUUACUGGGUGUAAAGGGAGCGUAGACGGUGAUGCAAGUCUGGAGUGAAAGGCGGGGGCCCAACCCCCGGACUGCUCUGGAAACUGUAUGACUU
rnacentral:rRNA from 1 species